UAAAAUGCAAAAAAAAUUGGGAAUAUUUAAAAUCAUAACGAUAUACAAAAUUUGUUCACAAACAAUCUAUCAUUACAUUGGGAAAAUACCAUCCGAUUCGCAACACAGUCAAGCGUCUUGUCAGGCAACUUAGUUUUGAAUGUAAUGUGUGCAAGUUGUGUAACAGCCAGUUAAGGUGUGUGUUUCUUCGCGAUAUUUAUAGAAUAAAUGAUGAAACAAUGUAUUCCUGCUUACUUCAACGAUUUUUAUUGACAUAUCUCAGUACACCCAAUGACCCCGUCACUCUUGUUCCUCCGCCCAAGAUGCGACAAACAAACAUCAAACGAUUUCCCGUUAGACAAGGACUAUUAUACGCUAGCGGCAACACCGUACGUUGUGUCGGCGUAUACGUGACGUUAUCCGAUCUACGUCACGUUCUCGUUAACGGCUGGCAAAAAACGAGGCGGCUAUAUCCUUCCCUCUCUCUUCUGUUUUACUCCGCUACCUACGAUGACACGCAAUGCGAUUAGAUGAGAUGAAAACGAGCGUGUUAUUUUUACCGCCGCCGCCACAUCCGAUAGUUAGUCCCUAUGCGAACUUCUAGUGUCCUGGUUAAAAUUGUCAAAUUAUUUAAAACAGAUAGCCCCCAAGGUCAUAGUGUAAGUAAGUUAAGCUGAAGAAGUCGAUACAGAAUUGGCUGGGAAAAGCUCAAGAUAAGCUAAAAUCAGAAGACAACUAGAUGUUUUGUUUCAUACCCAAAUGUAAACAAUAAAUUAUUAAAUACAUUCAUUCAUUCCUCCAUACAUCUUCAAGGCAUAAAUGGUGAAUAAACGUCAUAUUGAUGUACGCAAAAGCUUUGUCUGUUUAGAACGAAAAUGGCCAAAUUGACCCCAAUGAGUGGACCAUGUGGAUACCCAGUGAACCCUUUAAUCUUCCCAGAUGUGCAACAGCAACUAUCAAUCCGAAUCAACUAGGUGCAGUCACUUCGAAGAAUAUGGGAACCCACGGAAAAAAAUUCUCCCGGUCCUACAAAUUCCCAACCUUACAAAUGGUUUACAGAAGUUAUUUUCAACGAAAUGCAUUUGACAAAUCUAUUAAUUAUAUUAAUAAUUGUAAUUAAUAAAGCUUCAUAACAUUUGUAUACAUGUAUAACAAAAAUCUCUGUGAUAGUAUGUCUGACAUCGGAACGUAAACAGACAACACCGGCAUAUGGAGUUCCACAGGGUAGUGUACUUGACCCCUGUUUUAUUCAAUAUAUGUUCUAAAUUUAAAAAAUAAAAAAUUUAAAGCCAGAUGACACGGCUUUUCUAUAUACUUUCGCAGGCAAAACAAGUGGAAAAACAAGAAAUUAAUGUUGACCUUCAGGUCUAUGUGCAGUACUACUUAUCACAAAAUAAAAAUUAAUAUAGAUUACUUACAAAAGAAUACGGUUAUAAAUAAUAUAGAUAUUAAGAUUAAUAAUAAAACAUUGCAAAAGGAUUACUGCAAUAGCUUUGAGUCUACAUCCCAAUACAUAUACUUGAAAACCUAAACUGGUCUGAACACGUAAAUUAUAUUUCUAACCUCGUUUCUAACCAAUUUCUCCCUAU